UUGGAAAGGGUGGUGUGGAGAAUAAGACCAGGUGUGCCAAUUUAACAGGGGAUUAGGUGAGCAGCAGGCUGCAGUGCCUCAGUGAGCAACAGCACAGUGCCAGGGAAGGUGAUUUUGAUCCUCUGUCUUCAAGAGAGAUCUCAGUAGAACCACUAAAGACUUGUUGGAGGAGACCAUGAUGCUGUUUUUGACAGCUGUCCAUCAGUAGAAGACAGACAUGGAUCAGGCUAGUACUGCUACUGCAGCAGGGGCUGGCUGACAGUGCCCAGAUCUGCUCCAGUAAGCCAGAUUGCUCUGGAGGCUGCUGUGGACUUAUCCUCUGCCACCGGAGACAGAAUGUCACCCUUAAUAUUUAUAAUUACAAAGUGCAAUAGUGACAUCCACAGACAGGAGGCAUGGCAACAGAUCUGUGUGACAACUACCUUUGCCAUGAGGCAGCUCUGUCCCCAGCAAUGGAGAGCAAUGUUAUCAUACCAAAGACCCUCUUUAGCUUCAGUUUCUCUUCUCUUAGGAGGGCUGACAAAAUAAAUAUGCAGGGAUGGUGGUAACUUCAUAACUAUACAUGAAAACUAUGUAGGGGUUAGCAAUUUCUGCUUUUAGUCUGAAUCAUGCAUCUGAGGAUGAAAUAUUUCUAAUGUGUCUUAAAACACAAAGUUUAUUAGUAGCUGGGGAAACAGUGUAAAAUCUCAACUGUGCAUAAAAUAUAAUAUAUGCCAUGUUGGUGCUGAUCA